rnacentral:lncRNA from 1 species
GGAUGGAAGGAUGAGGAGAGGGAGGGAUGGAUGGAUGGAAGGAUGGAAGGAUGAGGAGAGGGAGGGAGGGAUGGAUGAAGAGAGGGAGGGAGGGAUGGAAGGAUGAGGAGAGGGAGGGAUGGAAGGAUGAGGAGAGGGAGUUGGUGCGAUGGUUUGGAACAGGAUAACGGUUGUGUCUUUGACAAAACCAUCAACAGGGUCGUAUUCAUUAGGGCAUGCAAAGUAAUGUAUGUUUGACAAUUUAACGUUUCCUAUUGGACAGAUGCAAGGUUGUCUCCCUGUUUCAGUCCAUUUACUUCCGUUUGGUGCUUAAUGAACACGACCCAGGUAAAUGUAAAACGUUAAGGGAAAUCUAACGUAGUGGCAACGUGAGAUUAGGAUUGAGAUUAUGUCUAGUUUGAGAUUGUUAUGGUUCUCAUCAUAACACUCCUCUCUGUACAAAGAAAAAAUAUAUAUAUAAAUAUAUAUAUAUUAUGCAGUAAAGGGUUUAAUAUAUUUAUUUUGUUAUAAAUUGUGUAUGUUAUUAUGAAUUUGAUUGAUAAAAAGAGACAAUGUUUGUUUUUGGGUUUACACUUCUGAAAAGGGAAAAUGGUAUGCUGUAGGAAAUCUUUUGCACAACUACAUUACCCUUGAAGCACCUGCUUCUCCAACGGUCCUCCUCCACAGGACCCGCUCCUCCACAGGACCCGCUCCUCCACAUGACCCGCUCCUCCACAGGACCCGCUCCUCCACAGGUACUGGUCCUCUGCGGGUACUGGACCAUUGCCGAACAUGUAGCACCCACCUGGGUGAUGCCACAGCUUCUGAAAGGUGCAAUUGAAUUGACUGGAAUUAAAAUGGAAUUGAUCCCAAUCCUGCUGUUUAAAGACAGAGAUUGUGAGACAAAGUGCCAGUCAUUUUUACAUUCAUAUCCAAUAGGACUUGGAAGGGAUAUAACUUCUAUGGAUGAGAUUACUACUAGCAUACUGGAAAAGCACAGUUAGUUUAUUCUAUCCUGGUCCUAGAUCUGUUUGUGCUGUAUAGCCAACUCCUAUUGCAUUUGACAAGAGAACACAAACAGAUCUGGAACCAGGCUCGAUUUACACUGACGCUCAGGUUAGAAAACAUUCCAUUAUAGUCCGGUCCAAGACCUGUUUGUGCUGGGUAGCCAACUCCUAUGGUUUGACAAGACAACACAAGGCGAUCUGGAACCAGGCUAAGAUUGUUGUAGGUAUAGUAUAGGAUUUAGACUGAUUCCACUAUAUAACACUGUUUGUUUUUCACUUUUUUUUUUCUGUCAGUAGCGUUUGUUGUAGGUUUUCAUAUUCAUAUGUUUGAUGUGCUGUUUUCUUUUCUUUUAUAUGUGGCAUUGUUAUUAGAGAUUGGGAAUUUGCAUUAGUUUGUGUUUCUACUGUAUAAGUGCCUGACUACUCAUAAGCUAAAGAGAACCAAAAAGGCUUUCUGCAUUGCUGAGAUCAUGAUGAUAGUUCCUAUCACUGUAUAAUAGAGUUUAAACAAUGGAGAGAGAGAGAGAGACAGAGGUGUUUUCUAUUGAUGACAGGCAUUUGAAUGACGACUGUACUGUAGGUAUUGUCAGGUCCAUCAUUAUUGACACCCCUUGAUAAAUAUGAGCCAAGACAUUCUGUACAAAAUACUAAUUCUGAGCUAUAUUGCAUGCUCAACAAUAUGGGGAAACUGUAUAUUAUUUUAUACCAAUACAAUUGCUCAGCAAAAGAAAACUCUAUUGUCAUGUCAUCUGACCAUAGCACCGCCUGGAGUUUGCACCGCCUGGAGUUUGAUAAACGGCAUUGGCAAUUGGAUUGGAACCGGUGCUUUGGUCAGAUGACAUGUAAAUAGAGCUCCUUGGCAACGCAAAACAGCGAUGGGUUUAGUGUUGAAAAACAGAAGCAUAUGCAGGAAUGAACCUCCAAUACCUACUGUAAAAUAUGGUGGUGGAUCUGUGAUGUUAUGGAGCUGUUUUGCUUCCACUGGUCCCGGGACCCUUGUUUACGGUCAACGGCAUCAGAAACUUUAUCCAGUACCAGGACAUAUUUUUUUGUUGUUGCCAAAAACCUGAUUUCUUCUGCCAAGAGGCUGACGCAAGUGGAUCUUCCAGCAAGAUAAUGACCACUAGGACUAAUCAAACGUUCAUCCAUAAAUCUAAAUGCUGCAAUGGUCACCUCAGUCUCUGGACUUUGAGUCCAUUCCUCCAUACAGAAUAAGAUCCCUCCCAACGUGUUUUCCAGUCUCAUAAAACAUUUUAGAAAUAGGCUCAGUGGUGUUAUCGUCGCAAGCGGAGGGUGCUGGAACAGGGGUGCCAAGAACCCCAAUCUUUUUUUAGAUUUUUGUACGUAUUUCUUGUUCAACAAAAUCUCAUUUUCUGAGCAAUUGUAUUGUUAUAAAAUAGUAUAAUUUCACCCUUCGGGUUUUUUUUGCAUGAAAUAUAUCUCAGUAUUUAUAUUGUUUAUUUAUACAAUAUUUUUUUGCUCAUCUUUAUCCAGGGUGCCAAUAAUUAUAAACAUGAUUAUAUCUGGGGUUUAGUUUUCGGGUUUAUCUUUUUUUUUAUGAGCAUUUUAUCACUUAUCUAAAAUGUAACUGUAUCAAAUUGUUGUAUUUUGUUGUGUACUGUAUUAAAAACCACUACUGCGUUUUUUGGGGGGUUUUUGUUGUUGCUGUAGUUGUCUAUGGCCAGUAAAACAAUGAGAUUCGAAAUGUUUCUUUCAAAGACUUUCCUUACCAUGUUGCCAACUUGACUUGCUGUCGGUUAAUGCAAAAGAUUGUUUUAGCGGUUGUGGUUGAUGGGUUGUGGAUGCUGUCUGUGUGUUCAGUCUGUGUGUAUAUAUGACAAUCAUGGUGUUACUUAUUGCUCAAUAUUAAAUCUAUUUUCUGGAAUGUAUAAAGUAUUGGCCUACUGUGUAUCUUUAGUUCAAUCAGUUUAGUUUUUAUUCUGUUUAAAUGAAUAGAAAAUAAGAAAGCUGGUGUGUGUGUGUGUGGGGUGGUGAGAAACAGAUUACACAUGCCCACAAAGAAUUCAGA